UACAUAGGGUGCAAGCGUUGUCCGGAAUCAUUGGGCGUAAAGAGCGUGUAGGCGGCCCGGUAAGUCCGCUGUGAAAGUCCAGGGCUCAACCCUGGGAUGCCGGUGGAUACUGUCGGGCUCGAGUCCGGAAGAGGAGUGUGGAAUUCCUGGUGUAGCGGUGAAAUGCGCAGAUAUCAGGAGGAACACCAAUGGCGAAGGCAGCACUCUGGGACGUGACUGACGCUGAGACGCGAAAGCGUGGGGAGCAAACAGG
rnacentral:rRNA from 1 species